rnacentral:misc_RNA from 1 species
GAUGAAGAACGUAGCGAAAUGCGAUACGUAAUGUGAAUUGCAGAAUUCAGUGAAUCAUCGAGUCUUUGAACGCACAUUGCGCCCUCUGGUAUUCCGGAGGGCAUGCCUGUCCGAGCGUCAUUGCUGCCCUCAAGCACGGCUUGUGUGUUGGGCCCCGCCCCCCGAUCCCGGGGGGCGGGCCCGAAAGGCAGCGGCGGCACCGCGUCCGGUCCUCGAGCGUACGGGGCUUUGUCACCCGCUCUGUAGGCCCGGCCGGCGCCUGCCGAUCAACCAAACUUUUUUCCAGGUUGACCUCGGAUCAGGUAGGGAUACCCGCUGAACUUAAGCAUAUCAAUAAGCGGAGGA